CUUAUUCUCACCCUUUAUUUACAUUUAUUACUCACUGGUUCGAAGUACUCAUAUUACUUCAUGUAUCUUGCGUAUAGAUCCAGGUGCAUCUGAGGCUGAGUGAGGAUUUUCUGUUCAGCAGCGCAUAUCCGGGAGCAUCAAGGUAGCUGCAUGGCUUCCGCAACCCUGAUCUCUCCCGUCUAUCCUUUGUUUUUAUGUUAUAUCCUCUAGAUUGACAUGUAUUAGGUUGAUUAACUUGUAUUAGACGCCCAGACUUGUGACACCGAAUCUGUUCGGGCUAUGUAGUUGGAUAAUUUGUUCGAUUUCCGCAUGUUUAACUCUUAUUUCAUACUUCUAAUAGAUUAUUUCGGUAAUUUACAUAUGUUAGGUAAUAAUGAAUUGAAUGAGAAAUGGGUUAAGGUUUUUAAUUGGCCUGGCUUGCCUAGCAGUGUGUUGGACUCAAUCACGACCGGGGUUUGAGUCGUGAUACCACGUUCUUAGGACCUAUGUUUCUUACUUCAGCACUUCAUUCAUUAGUUCAUGUGUUAUGUCUAUCACUUAGAAAUCCUGCUCAUAGGGCAAUAACAACACUAAAAUAAAAAGUUAUUAUCUUAAAAUUCUGCAACUCUUGUUUACAUUUAAAAAUCAUUCCUUAAGGAUUCUGUUUUCAACAAACUUGCAAUUUACAUGUGUAUAUUAGAUACCAUGUUCUAGGAUCCUAUUUGCAUUUUGUGUAAAAAACGUCUA
rnacentral:lncRNA from 1 species